UGAAAUUGCAUACACCGGUAUAUGUGGUAACAUUUUUGUAGAGAAAUUCUUAUCCCUUAAAUUACACCUUAAUAAAGGGAACUACGAUUUCCUUCUCCAUCUUGCAUCCAGUGAAUUGAGUGUAGUGGCAUUGAUUGACACACUUAAAUAAUAGUAAUACUUAAAGGACAGGAUCGGCCCUAGACGAAGUUUACACACCCGAUCCUCCUCCAACACACAGAACAACUAUUGUGAUUCGAUCGUGCUUUCUCGGAUCAGCAUUACCCGGGGUUUUGAGCUGAAAGCAAAGAUAGUCGUUCCCGCGUUCCGCUCAGUCGUCCGCUCAGUCGUUCAUCUGGGACACAGAAGAGGACAUCUGGCGGCCAGAUUUAUCUUCAGUUGUUGGGCGCAGGCUAGGUAGCCGUUUAGCCCCUACCUUCUUCAUGGUUCUUUGUUAUCUGCUUUGUUAGUUGAAACGUGGCUACAAGAGUAAGGGACGCCAUUAUCCUUCGAUUGGGUUUUCGAUUCGAUGUUAACUGUAUAUUUGAUGGCAAAUUGAUUGUUUAGAAUUUGUGAAUUGUGAUGUCUAACAGUUGGAUCGGGUUGGCGGACGGUGGGUGCUUGCAACUAUUUUGACGAAUCUUGAAGCUUAAGAUUUUGAAACCAUGCUGUCCAGUGUCCACCAAUUCGUCUACGUCCAGAAGGCACCUUUAGUAUAUGGAGCUUCACUCAUCCUAUCGUGUAGUCUACAUCUCAUUUACCUUUGCUGUUAAAGUCAACAUGUACCCUAAUUGAAGGCAAGUAGACGAAUUUUGAUGCUGAAAGACUUGGAAACCAUGCUGUCGACCACGUCGAGAAGCUGAGUAACAUUCUGCUUUUACAAUGGCACCUCUUAAUGAAAGAAACUUCAGCCAUCCAAUCUAGGGCUUCCAUCAAAUCGUGCAGGCUGCUUGGAAGUCACAUUUACCUUUGUUGUGAACAUCAUGAACCCCUACACUAUUUGAAGGUUCAUGUUUACGUAGCAGUGGUGUUGCUGUCCAAUGUGGCGUGUUGUUGCAGCCUAUGGCGGUGAAAGAUAUCUGCAUCAAGUUGCUGUUCCUUGUGCAUCCAAGGUGCUGCUUUUGUGCUACAGAAGUGACAUCCAAUAUUGUGUUUAAUUGCUAUUUGUGUCUUCGCAGUUUACCUUUAUAUAUUGAGAAGGAACAAAAAAAAAAGUAAUACGGGGAGGUUUAUGUCAAACAAAUAAUAAACAUGUCCAGGAUGGGGAAAUGAGGGGGAAAUUGGGGUGGGGUAUUUGGUUAUGAUUUACUAAAAGAAGUGAGGUAUAUUUUUAA